AACGAACGCUGGCGGUGUGCCUCAUACAUGCAAGUCGUACGCGAAUCCUGCCGCAAGGCAGGGUUUGAGUGGCAAACGGGUGCGUAACACGUAGGUAAUCUUCCUUUGAGUUGGGGAUAAGCCCUCGAAAGGGGGUCUAAUACCGAAUAACACUUCGGGCCGGCAUCGGCCUGAAAUUAAAGAUGGCCUCUGCUUGCAAGCUAUCGCUCGGAGAUGAGCCUGCGGCCGAUUAGUUAGUUGGCGGAUAAAAGCCCACCAAGACUUCGAUCGGUAGCCGGUCUGAGAGGAUGUCCGGCCACACUGGGACUGAGAUACGGCCCAGACUCCUACGGGAGGCAGCAGUAGGGAAUAUUGCGCAAUGGCCGCAA
rnacentral:rRNA from 1 species